AGAGUUUGAUCAUGGCUCAGAAUGAACGCUGGCGGCGUGCCUAACACAUGCAAGUCGCACGAGAACGUUUCAGCUUGCUGAGACUAUUAAAGUGGCGCACGGGUGAGUAACGCGUGGGUAAUCUACCUCCGAAUUGGGGGUAACACUGCGAAAGCGGUGCUAAUACCGAAUGACAUCCCCGAGACCCUGGUCUUGGUGAUCAAAGGUGGCCUCUACAUGUAAGCUACUGUUUGGAGAUGAGCCCGCGUACCAUUAGCUUGUUGGUAGGGUAAUGGCCUACCAAGGCUUCGAUGGUUAGCUGGUCUGAGAGGAUGAUCAGCCACACUGGAACUGACACACGGUCCAGACUCCUACGGGAGGCAGCAGUGAGGAAUUUUGCGCAAUGGGGGAAACCCUGACGCAGCAACGCCGCGUGAGUGAUGAAGGCUUUCGGGUCGUAAAGCUCUGUCAAGUGGGAAGAACCUGUUUCGUGCUAAUACCACGAGACACUGACGGUACCACUGAAGGAAGCACCGGCUAACUCCGUGCCAGCAGCCGCGGUAAUACGGGGGGUGCUAGCGUUAUUCGGAAUCAUUGGGCGUAAAGGGCGCGUAGGCGGUCGCUAAAGUCAGAUGUGAAAGCCCUCGGCUUAACCGAGGAAGUGCAUUUGAUACUUGGCGACUUGAGUAUGGGAGAGGGAAGCGGAAUUCCUGGUGUAGCGGUGAAAUGCGUAGAUAUCAGGAGGAACACCGGUGGCGAAGGCGGCUUCCUGGACCAAUACUGACGCUGAGGCGCGAAGGCGUGGGGAGCAAACAGGAUUAGAUACCCUGGUAGUCCACGCAGUAAANCGGUGAACACUAGGUGUAGCGGGUAUUGACCCCUGCUGUGCCGAAGCUAACGCAUUAAGUGUUCCGCCUGGGAAGUACGGCCGCAAGGUUAAAACUCAAAUGAAUUGACGG
rnacentral:rRNA from 1 species